rnacentral:lncRNA from 1 species
AAAAGAAAAAGAAAAAGAAAGAAUGAAGGCCCAUCUUGAUGUUGACAUGAAUGCAAGCAAGCUAAGAGACUUGUGUUGUAUGAAUGAUGAGAGAGAAAGAGGUAAUUUACUGAUUGUUUUAUAUACUAACUUAAAAACAAAAUGUCGAAAGCAUCGUCUUUAAAGCUGCAAUUAAUGUCCGAAAAUUUACUUCAUAGCUUUUGAAAGCUUGUGUCAGUAAAUCUCCACAUUCUCGCAAUCGCCAUUCAUUUCCGUU